rnacentral:rRNA from 1 species
UGCCAUGAGGUAUCUGAUGCUUGGUCUUUUUUCAUGGCCUUGUUUCUCGUUAGAUUGGCAGACAGUGAGAAGGAAACGGGUUUUUGCGACACUGGCUGCUCUAGUACCAGGAGCUUUCUGUUACUACACCCCCGUUUACACCUAUCAACUGGGUUGUUCUUUCUGCAGCUGGCUUCAGUGUUUUGUCCAUCAGUGAUGAUCAACACUUGUUAG